AAUUUUAUAAAACCUUGAAAUCCCUUAAUACCACUCGUCUGCUUAAACCUCGGCAUCCCACAUUUACCACUAUCAGGAAGGAUCACGUUUGUUUGUUUGCUGUCUCAUUCCCCCAUUUAUAUGUGAAUUCCACGGGUAAGGGCCUGCUCCUACAUCCCACACCUCUACAUCCACAGAGCCUAGAGACCGCAGGCGCGGGGAAAGCACUCCACGACCAUCACUGGCCAGGCCACAAGAGUGCUGGAUCUAAAUUUGGAACCGGACUUUCAGAGCUGAAAUAAACCUGAGGUUUUCCAGGGGCUUUUAACCUCCUUUUACAGCCAAGGAUGCGCCUAAGAAAGGGGAGAGGCUUCCGUGACUUCCUGCAGUAACGCAGCCACUAGAGAUUGAGACUACAACGACUUGGGAGUCUAAAAGUCUGCAACCUUUUCCACUCCAGAGCUCAAUGUUUCCUCAAUCCCCCGGGAUCGGCAUCAGCAAAAACCCGGAGAAGCGGAGCCUUUCUCAAAGAAAAUGACCUCCAGACUCAUGCUACCAUCUCGACCGGUGCAAGUAUCACGCAUGCGCAGGGCCGGCCGCCCGGCCGCACCUCGCCAACUCCUACUCGGACACGUCAUCUAGAAUAAUUUGGACAGCCUUUUCUGAGUUUCCCAUGACGACUUCUGUAUAAGAUUGUCGGAUAUAGCAAAUAAAAGUACAGUAUACCCAGCUUUACUGUGCGUUUUGUCCAAUUAUUUGUUCAAAACGCCAAGAACCUGGACAACUUGCUGUCCGCAACCAAUCAGACUGAUUGUGGGCUGAAUCUUCAUUUGCAUGGAAGUGCAACUUUGUAACUU
ensembl:lncRNA LINC01232 long intergenic non-protein coding RNA 1232